GUGUCAGCCGCCGCGGUAAUACGUAGGGUGCGAGCGUUAAUCGGAAUUACUGGGCGUAAAGCGUGCGCAGGCGGUUCGUUGUGUCGGCGGUGAAAGCCCCGGGCUCAACCUGGGAAUGGCCGUUGAAACUGGCGAACUGGAGUGUGGCAGAGGGGGGUGGAAUUCCGCGUGUAGCAGUGAAAUGCGUAGAGAUGCGGAGGAACACCGAUGGCGAAGGCAGCCCCCUGGGCUGACACUGACGCUCAGGCACGAAAGCGUGGGGAGCAAACAGGAUUAGAAACCCGCGUAGUCC
rnacentral:rRNA from 1 species